ensembl:snRNA LOC120100267 U1 spliceosomal RNA
GUCCUUACCUGGCGAGAGAGGUACUUUGAUCAUCACGGUGGUCCUCCCACUCUGAUGUUCAUCCCAUUGUACUCCAAGUCUGAUACGUCUGCAAUUUCCCCCAACUUGGGCAUUGUGACUACCUCAUUUGUGGUAUCAAGGACGGUAUUCACACCUUCCUUC